rnacentral:lncRNA from 1 species
AUGUCCGAGCCAGUCUCAAUGGCAACAACUAGCACUGGGACUUCUGCUACCCCUGAUACCAGCGCAAUCCCACCUGCCAGCACCUACAGUGUCAAACCCCCCCACGACACCACCUCCCUACCUGCUCUCAUUGCCCCACUUGCUACCAUCCACAAUACCAGCACCACCUCCCCACCUGCUGCCACCUACAAUGACACCACCACCCUCAACACCACCUCCCCACCUGCUCUCAUUGCCCCACUUGCUACCAUCCACAAUACCACCACCACCUCCCCACCUGCUACCGCCUACAAUGACACCACCACCUCCAACACCACCUUCCUACCUGCUAUGACCACCCCACUUGCUAUCAGCCACAAUACCACUACUACCCACAACACCACUUCCUCACCUGCUACCACCUACAGUGACACCAUCCCCCACAACACCACUUCCCUACCUGCUAUCAUCACCCCAUUUGCUACCAUCCACAAUACCGUUNUCACUUCCCCACCUGCUACCACCCACAAUAACACCACCAUCCACAACACCACUUCCCUACCUGCUACCACCUAUGACACCAUCCCCCACAACACCACUUCCCUACCUGCUAUUAUCACCCCAUUUGCUACCACCUACAAUACCACCACCACCCACAACAUCACUUUCCCACCUGCUAUUAUCACUCCACUUGCUACCGUCCACAAUACCACCACCACCUCCCCACCUGCUAUCACCUACAAUGACACCACCACCUCCAACACCACCUUCCUACCUGCUAUGACCACCCCACUUGCUAUCAGCCACAAUACCACUACUACCCACAACACCACUUCCUCACCUGCUACCACCUACAAUGACACCACCAUCCACAACACCACCUCCCCACCUGCUACCACCCACAAUACCACCACCAUCCACAACACCACCUCCCCACCUGCUACCGCCUACAAUGACACCACCACCUCCAACACCACCUUCCUACCUGCUAUGACCACCCCACUUGCUAUCAGCCACAAUACCACUACUACCCACAACACCACCUCCCCACCUGCUACCACCCACAAUAACACCACCAUCCACAACACCACCUCCCCACCUGCUACCACCUAUGACACCAUCCCCCACAACACCACUUCCCUACCUGUUAUGAUUACCCCACUUUCUGCCAUCUACAAUACCACUACUAUCCACAACACUACUUCCCCACCUUCUACCACCUACAAUGUCAUUACCCCCUACAACACCACUUCUUCACCUGCUACCACAUACAAUACCACCACCACCCACAACAUCACUUUCCCACCUGCUAUUAUCACUCCACUUGCUACCGUCCACAAUACCACCACCACCUCCCCACCUGCUAUCACCUACAAUGACACCACCCCCCCCAACACCACCUCCCUACCUGCUAUGACCACCCCACUUGCUACCAACCACAAUACCACUACUACCCACAACAUCACUUCGCUGCCUGCUACCACCCGUAAUAUCACCAUCCUACCUGCUACNCGCUGCCAGCUACCACCCGUAAUAUCACCAUCCUACCUGCUACUAUCCACACUACCAUGUCCCCAGCUACUAUUAUCACCACAACUAGCAUCACCCACAAUACCACAGCCCUACCUGCUACCUCCCGACCUGGCCCCACCCACAACACCACCUUAA